AUAAGCUCAUGAACAAAAAUAACUACAAAUCUAGCUGUGGUUGUAGUUACUCUGCAUUUGCCCAAAUCAAGGUCGGAGAGCUAACAUGUAUUUGAAUGUUACACUUUAAAAAAAAUGUAUUCCUAUAAUCACCUCAUUUUAUUCUCCCCAAAAUCCUAUAAGUUAAAUCCAAUUUUUACAGGUGAAGAGAGAUUCAGAGAUGUUCAGUGGCCUGAGCACAGAAACUCAGACAAUGACUUUAGGUCCCCUCCUUAUAAUGCUAUUUCUGAGGUAGGAAUACAAAACUGGAGCAAAGUAGGUUAUGGGGCUAAUGGGUACAUUUGAGUAAGCCACUAAAAACUUGGAGAAGAUUUAUCAAAAUAAUAUCUAAAACUUCCCUAGAAAGCCAGUUUUCAUUACCCUUCUCCACUCAUAUUCAAUAUGCACUAAGAAAAGAUCUAGGGAUUUAGACAAGAAAAACAGAAAGAAGAAAGGAAAGCCAUAGGGGAGAAUGGGAAGGAGAGAGACAGGGAGGAUAAGUUUACCAACUUAGAUACACCCCCUUCUAAACUAGAGAUUGCAGCAGUAUUCAAUUGUAUAAAGUAAGGACUGAGGUCUUAAAAGUUAAGCAAAAACAUGUAAUUGAAAUUUAGACAGAAAUGUUAAGAUAAAGAAAACUAAUGAAAUCUAUUAAAGCUACCAGAAAUUUCAUGAUCUUUUAGAAGUUAUCUAUGGUAAAUUCACUGCAUAUUAUUAUUAAGGUAGUAAAAAUCCUGUACAAAGUCAAAUUCCAAUCUGAAUCAAAUUUGGAAGAAAUAAUUUAUAGUUAAUCUAAACCUUAUUUUUAGUGCCCACAUUAAUUUGAAUUUUUCCCUUAAUCAUCUCUUUAGGAAAACUGUUCCAUUUCUUAAACCCCCC
rnacentral:lncRNA from 1 species